CUCCAAACAAACAUGACUUUCAUCAGCCUCAGCAUCUUGCUCUUCAUCUUCACUCACGAAUGCAGAGGACAAGUGACUGUGACUCAGACUUCAGAGCUGAUAUCAGCUUCCUCAGGACAGAAAGUAACUAUAAACUGUAAAACCAGCAGCUCUGUGUAUACUGAUAGUAAUGGCCCCCGCAUGGCCUGGUACCAGCAGAGACCUGGAGAAGCUCCUAAACUUUUGAUCUAUUUUGCAAGUACCCGUAACUCUGGGAUUCCGUCUCGAUUCAGUGGCAGCGGAUCUAGUACUGACUUCACUCUGACCAUCAGUGGAGUCCAGGCUGAAGAUGCAGGAGAUUAUUACUGUCAGAGUGUUCAUAACAUUGGUAGUGACUGGCCAAACACACAGUGA